AGGCUGCAACUCGCCUGCAUGAAGUCGGAAUUGCUAGUAAUCGCAGAUCAGCAUGCUGCGGUGAAUACGUUCCCGGGCCUUGUACACACCGCCCGUCACACCAUGGGAGUCGGUAACACCCGAAGUCGGUAGCCUAACCGUAAGGAGGGCGCCGCCGAAGGUGGGAUUGAUGACUGGGGUGAAGUCGUAACAAGGUAAC
rnacentral:rRNA from 1 species